ensembl:lncRNA LOC120096691 uncharacterized LOC120096691
AACAAACUGUUCCUCUAAGGGACAAAACACGAGAAGGGUACUUCCUAUAUUAUUCCACUUAACAGCAUCUUGUUCUGUGUAAUACACACACACACACACACACACACACACACACACACACGACAUUCUUGAAAUAAAACGAACAAAAAGCAGAUUCAUGGGGUUGGGAAGAUGGGUCAGUGGGUAAGAAUGUCCCCUCUGCAACCACAAAGACUCGAGUUUAAAUACCCUGCUUCCAUGUAAAAAGCCAGGCGCGCCUACAGGAGCCUUAACCUCAGCACCGGGGCCAGAGUGGCAGGUCUGGAGAGCUUGCUGGCCAGUCAGUGAGCUUCUGGUUCAGCAAGAGACUAUGUCUCAAGGCAAUCAGAUGGGGGCGGGGGCGGGGUGGUAAAUCUAACCACCUGCUCCGGAGAAACACGUGGUCCUCUCCGGGCACUCAGGUGUAUCACGUGCACGUGCCUGCGCACCCACACCACGCCAAACAGUAACACAUCUCUCCUAAAACCGUCAACCAAAGUAGUGGUUACAAGAGGGACCAGAGAAGGAGCACCAGGAGGAAAUUGGCUCUUGUGGAUCAUGUUGCAGCUUGGAGACCAGACAGGAGCCCAGCAUGGCCGUACUUGGAAAGGCCCAACAAGCAGCUGGAGGAGCCAGAUGCAAAUGCUUACACCCAACCAAUGAUCCGAAGCUGGGGACCUCUGUGGUUAAAUUACGGAAAAGUUGGAAGAAGCUGAGGUGGAGGGUGGCUCCAUUGGAAGACCCCAGUCUCAACUGACCUGGAUCCUCGAGAUCUCUCAGAUACUGGGCCACCAACCAGGCAGCAUACAUCAGCUGGUAGGAGGACCCAGACACAGAUACAGCAGAGGACUGCCUUGCCUGGCCUUAGCGAGAGAAGAUGGACCGAGAGAACGGUCCAGAUACUUGAGGCCCCAGAGAAUCGGG